rnacentral:hammerhead_ribozyme from 1 species
AUUCAGCUGACGAGUCCCAAAUAGGACGAAACGUGUGUCAAACUGGAU